rfam:Ovis aries breed Texel chromosome 13, whole genome shotgun sequence.
UCCCUGGUGGCUUAGAUGAUAAAGCAUCUGUCUACAAUGCGGGAGACCUGGGUUCGAUCCCUGGGUUGGGAA